CUACGGGAGGCAGCAGUGAGGAAUAUUGCACAAUGGGGGGAACCCUGAUGCAGCAACGCCGCGUGGAGGAUGACGCAUUUCGGUGUGUAAACUCCUUUUAUAUGUCAAGAGAAUGACGGUAGCAUAUGAAUAAGCACCGGCUAACUCCGUGCCAGCAGCCGCGGUAAUACGGAGGGUGCAAGCGUUACUCGGAAUCACUGGGCGUAAAGGACGCGUAGGCGGGCUUGUAAGUCAGGUGUGAAAUCCUACAGCUUAACUGUAGAACUGCACUUGAAACUACGAGCCUAGAGUAUGGGAGGGGCAGAUGGAAUUAGUGGUGUAGGGGUAAAAUCCGUAGAUAUCACUAGGAAUACCUAAAGCGAAGGCGAUCUGCUGGAACAUAACUGACGCUAAGGCGUGAAAGCGUGGGGAGCAAACAGGAUUAGAUACCCCAGUAGUC
rnacentral:rRNA from 1 species